rnacentral:rRNA from 1 species
ACUCCUACGGGAGGCAGCAGUAGGGAAUCUUGCGCAAUGGGCGAAAGCCUGACGCAGCCAUGCCGCGUGUAUGAUGAAGGUCUUAGGAUUGUAAAAUACUUUCACCGGGGAAGAUAAUGACGGUACCCGGAGAAGAAGCCCCGGCUAACUUCGUGCCAGCAGCCGCGGUAAUACGAAGGGGGCUAGCGUUGCUCGGAAUUACUGGGCGUAAAGGGCGCGUAGGCGGACAGUUUAGUCAGAGGUGAAAGCCCAGGGCUCAACCUUGGAAUUGCCUUUGAUACUGGCUGUCUUGAGUUCGGGAGAGGUGAGUGGAAUGCCGAGUGUAGAGGUGAAAUUCGUAGAUAUUCGGCGGAACACCAGUGGCGAAGGCGACUCACUGGCCCGAUACUGACGCUGAGGCGCGAAAGCGUGGGGAGCAAACAGGAUUAGAUACCCUGGUAGUCCACGCUGUAAACGAUGAGUGCUAGUUGUCGGCAUGCAUGCAUGUCGGUGACGCAGCUAACGCAUUAAGCACUCCGCCUGGGGAGUACGGUCGCAAGAUUAAAACUCAAAGGAAUUGACGG